rnacentral:rRNA from 1 species
CUACGGGAGGCACCAGUGAGGAAUAUUGCACAAUGGGGGGAACCCUGAUGCAGCAACGCCGCGUGGAGGAUGACGCAUUUCGGUGUGUAAACUCCUUUUAUAUGUCAAGAAAAUGACGGUAGCAUAUGAAUAAGCACCGGCUAACUCCGUGCCAGCAGCCGCGGUAAUACGGAGGGUGCAAGCGUUACUCGGAAUCACUGGGCGUAAAGGACGCGUAGGCGGGUUGGAAAGUCAGGUGUGAAAUCCUACAGCUUGACUGUAGAACUGCACUUGAAACUUCUAAUCUAGAGUAUGGGAGGGGGGGAUGGAAUUAGUGGUGUAGGGGUAAUAUCCGUAGAUAUCACUAGGAAUACCUAAAGCGAAGGCGAUCUCCUGGAACAUUACUGACGCUAAGGCGUGAAAGCGUGGGGAGCAAACAGGAUUAGAUACCCGGGUAGUC